UUUUUACAAAGUCAAUUUUCCUACAUAACUCCAAAUUUUUUUCACACCAUCUAAGUAAUAUUUUAAUAUUUUCCAUAUCCAAUCCGUAUUCAAAUUUCCCCAAUUACCUCCAAAUGACUUAUGAAAAAAAAUGCUAUUUUAAUCGGGAGCCAAUAGCGGAUUACCCUUUGCAUUUGACAGCAGAGUUCAGGCUUAACCCUUAACCUCUUCAGGCUCGGAGGACCCUGGGCAGGAGAGAUUUAAGAACACCGUCCUCCCGCUUUCGCGAAAGGCCAAGAGUGACUUGAAAUGUAGACGCGGAGGCCUAUGGGAAAUGUAGUUUUAAAUAGGUGAGGUUCACCGCCUGGACUCUGGGAAGGGGACGCCACGCUCCUUCUGCGCAUGUGCAGCCGUAGCCUCCUCGUUCGUCUUCUCAGGACUCCAGAGAACCGUUGGGGAACUUUGGGGUGUGCUCGGAAAAUGCAGGGUGCGCACCUAGGGCGAGGGACUAGCUGGGAAGGGUGUGCCUGUGCUUGGGGAUGGGAGCAGGAAGUGUCUGGGACCUCGUCGCCCCCCGCGGCGGUGUAUAAACCCGGGCGGGCCGUCAGAGCGGAUCACUAUUUUAGACAAGUGCCAGGAUCCAAGAAUGAUGAUCUGUGAAGAGUUUUCCGAGGUCACCUACUUCUAACUCUUUUGAAAGAUUUAAAGACAUUGGGCCUGAAAAUUUCAGUGACUUGUCCAGGGAAACGCAGUUUGUGACAGUUCACUCUCUCACAGCUGAACCACAGUCCUCUGUACUCGCCCAGGAGCCACAGAAGUGAACAUCCCUCAGG
rnacentral:lncRNA from 1 species